CGAUUUUCUGUUUUGAGUGCCCCGGGUAGCAUUCUUAACAAGUCAUUUAAACUAGAUCUGCAGAUUUCGGGGCUUUACAAUAUAACACGUCGCAGUAGACUUCAGCCAGGUUUCCAGCUGAAAUCGACAUGGGCGUGAAGGACAUGCUGUGGGCCAUUUUCUGGUUCUUGGUGCUCAUCCACCUGGCCUGGCCGAUCGCUAUGUUCUUCGGCUUCCUGUACGGCUUGGUGUCUCCCCUGACUACCUGCGUGGGAUUUGACAGAAUCACCGAAAUCUUCCUGUCAGGCGCCAGCUUGGGUCGUUCCUGUGCAGAGAAUAUGAAGUCCAGCAAGCCGCUUUGUUGAAACGUUCAGCUUUUAAGAAGAGAGAGAGAGAGAAAAAAAAACUCGUCUCGUUGUGAUCAAUUCACCAACACCGAAUAUGCUGAUCACAUGAAUUCUUAAUCCCAGAGCCUUGCUCGCCCUCCCUAUACUUUAUCAUUCCUCUUUAUCAAAGUAUUUCCAUCACGUACAAACAUGUUUACUAACUUUAAUCUAUUAUUUGUCUUUCUUUCGGGGGCAACCUACAUUUUCUGCACAAUUUUAAAACAAAAAUUGGAAAUGGUAAUGUGUGCUUUUGUGAUUCAAUAUUAGCAAUAAAUCACUCCAAAUUAUAAA